rnacentral:RNase_P_RNA from 2 species
CAAGUAAACCGGGUGACCGCCCUGAAUUCCGGGGAGGAAAGUCCGAGCUCCACCGGGCAGGAUGCUGGGUAACGCCCAGGAGGGGUGACCCUACGGAAAGUGCCACAGAAACAUACCGCCCCGCCUAUGAGCGGAGUAAGGGUGAAAUGGCGAGGUAAGAGCUCACCGGCGGCCGGGUGACCGGUCGGCUGUGCAAACCCCAUCCGGAGCAAGACCAAAUAGAGGAACACAAGGAUGCCCGGCCUGUUCCCGGGUUGGUCGCUUGACCCUGAUGGUAACAUCAGGGCUAGAUAGAUGGUCGCCGCUCCGAUUUAUCGGAGCACAGAACUCGGCUUACAGGUUUACUUGGCCC